rnacentral:lncRNA from 1 species
GCCCGUGCGUCCGUGGCACGGAACGGCCGUUAGUCCCGGCAGAGGGCUCCGCGAAGACAGUGCCGUCGUUGGGCGCGCGCGCGGGCGGGAGCUGUCGGGGCGGGGCGGCACCGCCGAGCUCCGAGCUGUGAGGACCGCCCCGGGCCUUGGGCGGGGCGGGGGCCAGGGAAGGGCGUGCGCAGGAUUGGGGAGCACGUUUUGCGUCUUGCUGUGCGUGAGGAAGCGGGGAUCCAGGUCAAGGCUAUGGAAAGGUCAGGGAAGGGUGUCAGUGCGCCCGUCCUGCAGGGAGUCCAGAUCCGAGAGGCAGGACUUUGAAAUGACCCUGUCCUCAGCCUGGAGGAUGCGGUAUUCUGAUUGUCUGGUGCUGUGUCAACUGGGCCUGCCUCUGGGAUAGUGUUGUGGCUGCCCCACGAGAACCCUAUAUGCCAGUUCCAGAAGCAAAAACAAAAAAAGUUCGGGUACAGCGGCUCACACCUGUAAUCCCAGCUCUUAGGGAGAUGGAAACUGGAGGAUCACUUGAGGCCAGGAGUUCAAGACCAGCCUGGGCAACAUAGCAAGACCCAGUCUCUUAAAAGAAAAUUAAAAAGAAAGAGUAAAUAAAGUUCCAGAAGCUUUGCUCUCCUUAUCCAAGCAGCGUUUGUACUUUGGCACUGGAAAGUGCGGGAGUCAGGGGUUUGUGAGAGCACGUGUUGGUUGUCGCAUUGGUCAGGAUGCACCCAUCACUCUGUAUCCUCCGGCUAAGGAGUGCUGGAGAGCCGUGAUGCCCACUGGCUGUUGUCCCGGGCUUGUCACUCAAAGACGGGACAGAUGUCUCCUUCCAGUUCUGGCCCAGACUGUCCUCUGAGCUGGGAGCACAGGGCUCCUCCCUGAGUAGAUGACCUGUCAGGUCAGCUGGAUCCAGAGGUCCCACAACCUCUCAAGGCAGAGCUGGCAGCUGUCCAGAAGGCAGCAGCCAUGAUAACAAACGUGGUUGGCCCAGGCCCAGACCUGCCCCCUGGCAACAGAGAACAGCAGGACUGGCUUUGACAUUGUUUUAGGGAGCCAGGCACCCUUCCCAGUCAGGGCAGAAGCCCCCUGGAGAGCUGGGCUCCUGACCUCACCGGCCUCCACCUCCUGAAGGCUCUGGCCAAAUCCACAUGUGACCUCAGGAAGGGAACACCCUCAGGAGUCCAAAGCCCCUGUUCCCCUGCUCGGUUGGCCACAGUCACUCUCCUGCCUCGGGGUUGUGUCUGUAGCAGGCUCUCUUGGGCAGCAGGGGUCAGGAGCACGGAGGGCAGACCCAAGACGGACCAGGCAUCUCUGGGGAGGCGACAUCCCCUCCCACCGGCAGCCCAGAGACAGGAGCUCCCCAGCAGUGCCCCUCAAGGCCAGAUUCGCAAGUAGGUGCCCGUGGAGCAAACAGAGAAAAGCGGGAACACGCGCUCCUGGAAGUUGACGCGGAAGGUGUAGAGGUGGCGCAUGUCCUCCACAGCGUAGAAGGACACGGCUCCCACCUCCAGGUCCAGGGCCACCCGCACGCGCGACAGGUGCCCGCAGCUGAGGGGCGACCGCUCGGGGCUGGUCACGGCCCAGUACUGGCCGCCGUUGAGCUGCAGGGCCCAGACGCCCUCCUCGGGAGUGAAGGGCGUCAGGCCCUUUCGGCGCACGCUCUCGCGGGCCACGCCAAAGGCCCAGCCGUCCUUAGAGCCCACCUCCACCUCCCAGUGAUGCCGGCCCGAGGAGAAGCCGCAGGACGCCAGGACGCGGGUGUUGGUGUCGAAGCGGCAGGGGUGGUUGGGCAGGUCCUGGGCCCGCUCGCCGAGGCGCACGCCCUUAAGAUCCAGAGAGAGGAUGAGGCGCGGGUUGGCCGUGUCGGGAUCCAAGGUGAGCUCCACUGCAGACAGAGACAGGGAGAAAUGUCCCCACGCAGCCAGGCCCCUGGCACAGUCUUUGCAGGGCCGCGCCCGACCUUGCUUUGCAACCUGCCUGCCUUUCCCUCUAGAAUCCCCCCAGCACCCAGCGCCAAGGCCCAACCAACCCCCACGCUCUGCCUCCCAGAGAUUUUGCUUCCCCCCGCCCCGACCACUCAACAAGUACUUACUGAAAUCAAACAAAUGCAAUGUGUGGGCCUGGUUUGAACCCCAAUUCAACAGAUGGGGAUAUUUGAAUGCUAGACAUUGGAAAGAAUCAUUAAUCUGUCCAGGUGUGAGGACUGCUUUGUGGUUAUGUUUUACAAAGUCUGUUUCUUUAGAGAUAACACACUGAGGUAUUUAUGGCAAUGAUAUGUUGUCUCUGAUGCUUUAAAAUAAUACAGUAGGCCAGGCGCAGUGGCUCACGCCAGUAAUUCCAGCACUUUGGGAGGCCAAGGUGUGUGGAUCACGAGGUCGGGAAAUCAAGAACAUCCUGGCUAACAUGGUGAAACCCCGUCUCUACUAAAAAUAAAAAAAUAAAAUAAAUUAGCCGGGCGUGGUGGCGGGCGCCUGUAGUCCCAGCUACUCGGGAGGCUGAGGCAGGAGAAUGGCAUGAACCCGGGAGGUGGAGAUUGCAGUGAGCUGAGAUCACGCCACUGCACUCCAGCCUGGGCGACAGAGCAAGACUCUGUCUCAAAAAUAAAAAUAAUAAUAACAAUAAUACAGUGGAGGCCGGGUGAGAUGGUGCACAGCUGCGAUACCAGCACUUUGGGAGGCCAAGGCCAAUGGGUCACAUGAGGUCAGAAGUUUGGGACCAGCUUGGGCAACAUGGCGGAAAACUUGUUUUGUAUUUUCUCUACUAAAAAUACAAAAAUUAGCCCGGCAUGGUGUCCUGUGCCUGUAAUUCCAGCUGUUUGGGAGGCUGAGGCAUGAGAAUCGCUUGAACCCAGGAGGCAGAGGUUGCAGUGAGCAGAGAUCAGGCCACUGUACUCCAUGAUCUCACUCCAGAGUAAGACCCUGUCUCAGAAAACAAAAUAAUCCCACAGGAAGUGGAUAGCAGUGUCUAUGAAAACUGUGGCCACUAAUUGAUCACUGCGGACGGUGAGAGAUGGGUAUGUAACAUUCUUUACACUCUUCUCUCUACUUUUGAGUAUGUUUGAAAUUUUUCAUAAUAAAAAGUUAAGGCCA